ACUCCUACGGGAGGCAGCAGUGGGGAAUAUUGCACAAUGGGGAAACCCUGAUGCAGCCAUGCCGCGUGUGUGAAGAAGGCCUUCGGGUUGUUAAAGCACUUUCAGUAGGGAGGAAGGUAGUGUAGUUAACACCUGCAUUAUUUGACGGUUACCUACAGAAGAAGCACCGGCUAACUCCGUGCCAGCAGCCGCGGUAAUACGGAGGGGUGCGAGCGUUAAUCGGAAUUACUGGGCGUAAAGCGCAUGCAGGCGGCCUGUUAAGUCAGAUGUGAAAGCCCGGGGGCUUAACCUCGGAAUUGCAUUUGAAACUGGCAGGCUAGAGUCUUGUAGAGGGGGUAGAAUUUCAGGUGUAGCGGUGAAAUGCGUAGAGAUCUGAAGGAAUACCAGUGGCGAAGGCGGCCCCCUGGACAAAGACUGACGCUCAGAUGCGAAAGCGUGGGGAGCGAAACAGGAUUAGAUACCCUGGUAGACUGUCA
rnacentral:rRNA from 1 species